GUCACUGCCAAGGGGUUAUUGAUGGGCCGCGCAUGGAAAUCCCCUCCCAGCGCCUCCGAACCGCCAAAAACCAGGAAAAACACCCAAAAGAACCUCGAGGGUUUUGAAGGCAAAAAUCGCGCUGGAUUUAUAAAUAUGUGAAGGAAAAAUGGGAGAAAAAAAGAAGUUUUGGGGCCGAUUUUUAAGAAGUUUCUGCUGCUGCUGAGGGAUUUCUCACUCCGUGACCCCCGGAAUUCCCAGAAAAUCUCGGAAAUACGACCAAAAAAGGAGGAAAAAUCAGCUUUUUAUCCCUUAUUUCGCCCCCCGUUUCACUUCCCGCUGUUAAAUCCACAAUUUCCGAUCUCCUCGAGGCGCUAAACAUAAAUAUAAAUACAGGAACCACGAACACAGAGAAAAAUAUUCACACAGAAACCGUCACAGUUUGUGGAUGCGGUGAUGAGCCCAGGUAGCUGCUUAAAUACGAGGAGGAAAAAAGGCGAUUUCGGGCCGAAAAAGCGCUUUUUUUAUGGCAUUUCCGCGAGGAAAAUCUGAUUUUUUCCCACCGGGAAUGGCUGAGG